UUUGAAGAAUUUAAAGAAAAGUAAACAAAAUGUAAAUACUUUGGAAAUUAUUUGCAGCAACUGCAACAUGAGCAACAAAAAAAUAAUUGAAAAACCAAACAAAAUAAGCUCAAACAAAGUUAAACUUAUUGAGAAGAAAACUAAAUCGAAAAAGAAAGACAAAUUUUGUGGAUUGAAUCCAGACCUUGUUAUUGCAGUUAAAGGUAAUUCUGCAAGUAAAAAUGCAAGUUUAAAGAAGAUCAAUCCAAUUAAGAAAGAAGACACUACUCAAUUGAUUCCCAAGAAAACAAUUACUUCAAGUAAAAAAAAAGUAGCAGCACAGCAAAAGAAUUUGACAAAAUUGAAGAAUCGUUUGGGUAAUGCCCUGAGUAGUCAACCAAGCAGUAACAUUGGUUUAAAAAGUUUUUUAAAACAAAUUAAAUGAUAUUAUUUCCUAUA